GGGCCAGUUGCUAUCUAUUAAUUGUGUAAUUUGUUUGUUUCAGGUAGUGAUGACUCAGCUGCAUCUAAUGAUAGUUCCCCCGACAUGCCACCAAUGAAGGAACUACCUUCAGCUCUAUCAGAAGACGACAUUAAGGAGAUGAAUGAACCUCAAGCUGACGACGGACAAUCAUCGGGCUUGUACUCGGAAAUCGUAAUGGAAAAUGGAAAAGUUGUCAAGAACAUUGUUCGAGGCACACCUGUUACGAAUGAAAAUGGAAAUACCAAUGUCUCUGAACAUGACAACUAGAACUUUACUCUGAUUGAAAAGGUUUACUUAAAAAUUAAAAAAAAAGUCAGCGUACUCCACAAAUAAGUCAUCAAAGGUCGUAUUUUCAUGACUGUACCCUUUGUUCCUUCUCACUUUGUAUACUAUAUCCCUCGCAGAACUGUGUUUAAGAUGUUCUAUUUAUUAUGAAGUUGUUGUUGUACAAUUACGUUAAAAACACUACGACACAUAAAAGCUUGUAACCAAUAUGAUACUAUAUGUAUAGUAAAUACAUUAUAAAAUAAUAAAUUAAUUAGCAAUACAAACAAAAGAAUAUUGUUGUUGCGCAUAUGUGAAUUUUAGUAAUUUGAAAAU